CACACUGGCCACUCUCACGAUGCCGAACGCCUUCCAUGUCUACCCGCUACGCCGCAUUCAGAGCGGGGCCGGGGACAUCGCGGCCGCGGCAAGUCGGAGAUGCCGCCAGCAGGAGCAGCCUCCCACCUGCAGGGCUGGCCAGUUCUGCUCUUCCACGGUCACUGUCGUCUCACCCCCUCCCCAAAAUGUCCCCAAAAUGUCAGAGCAAGAACCAGGAAGGGAGAGGCUCUUUCUGGAAGCCACAGGCGUAACGUUACUGAACAUCGAGGACAAAGUAGCGUUCCAUUUCAACUGAGAGUCAGCGAGGGAAAAGAACAGAUCCUUCCUACACAUACUGAGCAUCCGCUAUCCCUUCGCACACACACCC